rnacentral:miRNA from 1 species
GGUAUGAGCUUUCGUGUGCAUGCACACUUCUUCAGAUAUCUGAAGAAGUGUGCAUGCACACGAAAGCUCAUACC